UACGGAGGGGGCUAGCGUUGUUCGGAAUUACUGGGCGUAAAGCGCACGUAGGCGGCUAUUCAAGUCAGAGGUGAAAGCCCGGGGCUCAACCCCGGAACUGCCUUUGAAAUUAGAUGGCUAGAAUCUUGGAGAGGCGAGUGGAAUUCCGAGUGUAGAGGUGAAAUUCGUAGAUAUUCGGAAGAACACCAGUGGCGAAGGCGACUCGCUGGACAAGUAUUGACGCUGAGGUGCGAAAGCGUGGGGAGCAAACAGG
rnacentral:rRNA from 1 species